rnacentral:rRNA from 1 species
CAAGUCGAACGCGAAAGUGGAGCAAUCCAUGAGUAGAGUGGCAAACGGGUGAGUAACGCGUGGGCGACCUACCUCAGAGUGGGGGAUAACCUUCCGAAAGGAGGGCUAAUACCGCAUGACAUACCGUGUUUGGAUACACGGAUAUCAAAGCCGGGGAUCGCAAGACCUGGCGCUUGGAGAGGGGCCCGCGUCCGAUUAGCUAGUUGGUGAGGUAACGGCUCACCAAGGCUCCGAUCGGUAUCCGGCCUGAGAGGGCGGACGGACACACUGGAACUGAGACACGGUCCAGACUCCUACGGGAGGCAGCAGUGGGGAAUUGUUCGCAAUGGGCGCAAGCCUGACGACGCAACGCCGCGUGGAGGAUGAAGACUUUCGGGUCGUAAACUCCUUUCGACCGAGAUGAAUUUCCCACGACCUAACACGUCGUGGGAGUGACAGUAUCGAGGGAAGAAGCCCCGGCUAACUCCGUGCCAGCAGCCGCGGUAAUACGGGGGGGGCAAGCGUUGUUCGGAAUUACUGGGCGUAAAGGGUCUGUAGGUGGCUUGUUAAGUCAGACGUGAAAUCCCUCAGCUUAACUGGGAACUGCGUCUGAUACUGGCGAGCUUGAGUGCAGGAGAGGAACGCGGAAUUCCAGGUGUAGCGGUGAAAUGCGUAGAUAUCUGGAGGAACACCGGUGGCGAAGGCGGCGUUCUGGACUGUAACUGACACUGAGAGACGAAAGCCAGGGUAGCAAACGGGAUUAGAUACCCCGGUAGUCCUGGCCCUAAACGAUGAAUGCUUGGUGUGGCGGGUAUCGAUCCCUGCCGUGCC